rnacentral:rRNA from 1 species
UACAGAGGGUGCGAGCGUUAAUCGGAAUUACUGGGCGUAAAGCGUGCGUAGACGGUUAUCUAAGUCGGACGUGAAAGCCCCGGGCUCAACCUGGGAAUUGCAUUCGAGACUGAAUAGCUAGGGUGCGGUAGAGGGAAGCGGAAUUUCCGGUGUAGCGGUGAAAUGCGUAGAUAUCGGAAGGAACAUCAGUGGCGAAAGCGGCUUCCUGGACCAGCACCGACGUUCAGGCACGAAAGCGUGGGGAGCAAACAGG